rnacentral:rRNA from 1 species
AUUUUGAUUAAUGCUCUAUGUUCUUAUUUACUCGCAUGAGUAAAUAUGCAAAGCUCCGGCGGUAAAAGAUGGGCAUGCGUCCUAUUAGCUUGUAGGUGAGGUAACGGCUCACCUAAGCUCCGAUAGGUAGGGGUCCUGAGAGGGAGAUCCCCCACACUGGUACUGAGACAGGACCAGACUUCUACGGAAGGCAGCAGUAAGGAAUAUUGGACAAUGGAGGCAACUCUGAUCCAGCCAUGCCGCGUGAAGGAAGACGGCCUUAUGGGUUGUAAACUUCUUUUAUACAGGAAGAAACCUUUCCACGUGUGGAAAGCUGACGGUACUGUAAGAAUAAGGAU